UCCAGGCAAGAGAGAGUAUUCUGUCACAUCCAUCAGUAAAAAAUACAAAAUCACAACACGUUGCUCAUGAGUUAUACUCGUACGGUACCUAUUUGUCAUAAAAAACAUAUGAUCAUUAUUUUAGCUGAUGUUGCUACGAGGCAACGUUUUUAUAGCAUUUUAAACAGAAGAAUAAGGCAUAUUAAGGCAGAAGGCAGAUUAAGCUUCGUUUGCUACAUCUGAUUUUUUUAAAACUAUUGAUGUACAUUAGAAAUAACAUUCUUCAGGACUCGUUUGCUACAUUUUACUUUCUUAUAACAAGUAUGUGUACGUUUUGAAAUAAAAUUAUUAAUAAAAAGAA